AUACGGAGGAUGCAAGCGUUAUCCGGAUUUAUUGGGUUUAAAGGGUGCGUAGGCUGUUCGGAAAGUCAGGGGUGAAAGCCCGGCGCCUAACGCCGGAACUGCCUUUGAUACUUCCGAGCUGGAAUACGGAUGCCGUGGGAGGAAUGAGUAGUGUAGCGGUGAAAUGCAUAGAUAUUACUCAGAACACCGAUUGCGAAGGCAUCUCACGAAUCCGUCAUUGACGCUGAGGCACGAAAGCGUGGGGAUCAAACAGGAUUAGAUACCCUGGUAGUCCACGCAGUAAACGAUGAUGGCUAACCGCUGGUUUUUUCGGAUCAGUGGCCAAGCGAAAGCGAUAAGCCAUCCACCUGGGGAGUACGACCGCAAGGUUGAAACUCAAAUGAAUUGGCGGGG
rnacentral:rRNA from 1 species